GCAUAUCAAUAAGCGGAGGAAAAGAAAUAACAAUGAUUUCCCUAGUAACGGCGAGUGAACAGGAAAGAGCUCAAAGUUGGAACCUGUUUGGUUUAGCCAAACCGGAUUGUAAACUGUAGAAGUGUUUUCCUGGCACGCCUAACGAAAAAGUCCAUUGGAACAUGGUGACAUAGAGGGUGAGAGCCCCGUAUUUUGUUAGAGCUGUUGUCUUUUGUGAUACACUUUCAAAGAGUCAGGUUGUUUGGGAAUGCAGCCUAAAUUGGGUGGUAAAUCUCACCUAAAGCUAAAUAUUGGCAAAAGACCGAUAGCGAACAAGUACCGUGAGGGAAAGAUGAAAAGAACUUUGAAAAGAGAGUUAAACAGUAUGUGAAAUUGUUAAAAGGGAACCGUUUGGAGCCAGACUGGCUUGAUUGUAAUCAAUCUAGAUCUCGAUCUGGAUGCACUUGCAGUCUAUGCCUGCCAACGACAAUUCAUUCUGGAGGAAAAAACUAGGAGGAAUGUGGCCCCUCGGGGUGUUAUAGACUUUUAGAAAAUACUCUGGUUUGGAUUGAGGAACGCAGCAGAUGCUAUUUGGCGAAGGUGCUGAGUGCUUUUAGUUUUAUUGGUUAGAAUUUCUGCUUCGGGUGGUGCUAAUCAAUACGAUUGGAACUCGCUUAGUUCACUUUUUAUCUGCUUAGGUUGUUGGCUUAAUGACUCUAAAUGACCCGUCUUGAAACACGGACCAAGGAGUCCACCAUAUAUGCGAGUAUUUGGGUGACAAACCCAUAUGCGCAAGGAAACUGAUUGAUACGAAAUCGCAAGAUGGCAGUAUCACCCGGCGUUGACGUUUUUAACUGAAGUGACUGAGGUAAAGCAUAUAUGAUGGGACCCGAAAGAUGGUGAACUAUGCCUGAAUAGGGUGAAGCCGGAGGAAACUCCGGUGGAGGCUCGUAGCGAUUCUGACGUGCAAAUCGAUCGUCAAAUUUGGGUAUAGGGGCGAAAGACUAAUCGAACCAUCUAGUAGCUGGGUCUGCG
rnacentral:rRNA from 1 species